GCUGGACUGGUUGUCAGAGGCUAUUUGAGACGUAUGCCAUUAGGAAGCAUUUUAUAGGUAGUGGAGUGCUUACAUCCAUUACCACUUCUGGCAAUGACAAAAAUACCAUAUAUACACUAGAUCAGUUUGACCAUGGCACUAAUCAGAAAAUACCCAUUGAUAAAAUAAAGGCCUAUACAAAGCCAACUCCAUUACAUAGUAAGAAUUAAAAUAAGACAAUGUACUUAAACAGUCAGAGUUACAAUUUUUUUUAAAGGUGCUUAAAUAUUGCAUGACAUUUAAAACAGGAUAAAUUUCGAACAUUUUAAAAAAGCACAAUUA